ACCUGGGUGGCUGAGCCGGUUGAGCGUCUGACUUCAGCUCAGGUCAUGAUCUCACGGUUCAUGAGUUCAAACCCCACUUCAGGUU
rnacentral:tRNA from 1 species